GCCAAAAAUCUAGCCCUAUCUCCCCCAAGUAAACUCAACAUUUCAAAUUAUAAAUCAAAACAUUUUAAUGAUUAAGUAAAGGCGAUUGAAAAAUUAACAGGAGCUAUAUACAAUGUACCGCAAGGGAAAGAUGAAAUAAAAAUGAAAUAUUUAUCAAGCACAAAAAAGUAAAGAUUAAUUCUUGUACCUUUUGCAUCAUGAUUUAACUAGUCUACCCUAGCAAAACGAUUUUUAGUUUGACCCCCCGAAACUAAGUGAGCUACUUCAAGGCAGCUUAAUGAGCAAAUCCGUCUCUGUUGCAAAAGAGUGGAAAGACCUUCAAGUAGGGGUGACAGACCUAACGAACUUAGUGAUAGCUGGUUACUCAAGAAAAGGAUCUAAGUCCAACCUAAAACUUAACUUAAUACCACAAGAUUAAAAACUUAACUUUAGAGCAAUUCAAUUAAGGUACAGCCUACUUGAAACAGGAUACAACCUCAACUAAUGGGUUAUCUUAACCACCAGCACAUUUAAGUUGGCCUAAGAGCAGCCACCUUUUAAAUAGCGUCAAAGCUUAGCCAUGCGACUGUUUAAUCUCAACAACACCUAUUAACCCUUUACUACUAUUGAGUACUUCUAUAUACCUAUAGAACUUUUUAUGUUAAAACUAGUAACAAGAACUAGGCCUUCUCUUAUAUGUCAGUGUAUAUCAGUAAGGACACACCACUGAUAAUUAACACCAAUGAACUAAAAGUAGCAACUCAACAAGAAAACCCUUCUUAAUAAUAUGUUAAUGUAACACAAGUACAUUCCAAGAAAGAUUUAAAGAAAAAGAAGGAACUCGGCAAACAUUAACCUCGCCUGUUUACCAAAAACAUCGCCUCUUGUAAAAAUUUAAGAGGUCCAGCCUGCCCAGUGACCCUGUUCAACGGCCGCGGUAUCCUAACCGUGCGAAGGUAGCGUAAUCACUUGUUCUUUAAAUAAGGACUAGUAUGAAUGGCACCACGAAGGUUAUACUGUCUCCUUUUUCUAAUCAGUGAAACUAAUCUUCCCGUGAAGAAGCGGGAAUAAUUAUAUAAGACGAGAAGACCCUAUGGAGCUUUAAACAAAAUAACAAUUGCUAACUAAAUCUUAAUUUCAGAAAACCAAUCUUUA
rnacentral:rRNA from 1 species